rnacentral:rRNA from 1 species
UACGUAGGGUGCAAGCGUUGUCCGGAAUUAUUGGGCGUAAAGAGCUUGUAGGCGGUUUGUCGCGUCUGCUGUGAAAUUUCGGGGCUCAACCCCGAACUUGCAGUGGGUACGGGCAGACUAGAGUGUGGUAGGGGAGACUGGAAUUCCUGGUGUAGCGGUGAAAUGCGCAGAUAUCAGGAGGAACACCGGUGGCGAAGGCGGGUCUCUGGACCACAACUGACGCUGAGGCGCGAAAGCGUGGGGAGCAAACAGG